GGCUUCGUGGCCUAAUGGCUAGGGCGCUAGAUUUCGGUUCUUAUUGAUCCUCUAGAGAUUGUCGGUUCGAGUCCGGCCGAAGUCG